GUAUUCUGCUCUCUCGGUCCGUGAUACUGACCGGUACUUCUUCAUAAGACAAGUCCUCUUGGAGUGGAAGCGGUUCAUGAGCCAAGACAUGAGAAGGGUCCGGGUUGUACUUACGUAGCAUAGAUACGUGAAACACAUUAUGAACCCGGGAGAGCUCAGGAGGCAGUGCAAGUCUGUAGGCAGUGGUACCAAUCUUGUCUAAGAUUUCAAAGGGUCCAAUAUAUCUGGGGUUUAAUUUUCCCCUCCUGCCGAACCUACUAAUUCCCUU
rnacentral:lncRNA from 1 species